GGUGGUGUUUGAUUCCGUGGUGGUUGUCUUUAAUCGCUAGGGUAGCCGGCAAGGCAGUAGGUGGUGAUGUUGUUCGAGUCUAGCAGCAGGUGUUUAGGCAACGGCUGCCGGCGACCAUGGACAGCUUCAAUGACCAGCAGCACUACUGUUGAUCAACAAGCGUCGAUAGCGGCGAUCUGACUGAUGAAAAUGGUUUAGAUGAUUACCCUGGAUAUUUCUUCAGUUCCCACCCCUUGGUGUCAUCAACUUCGCUGAGAGCCUGACGCCACGUCUUUAUUUCCUCGGAGCUGAACUUCUUCUUCUCAUCCUCCAUCUUUUGCUCCAAAGUCAAUAUGGCAUCACGGUAUAACGAGGUUUUCAGCUUCACAUCAGCAGGUUUCACGUCAUAAAAGAUGGGCAAUAUCACCUUCUCAUUCCCCUCUUCAGAUUGAGAGGUGUUCUCCACCAUCUUUGCAAGCUCUCGGAGGCACCAGUGACUCGAAGCAUAUUUCAUGGAGAAGAUGGGUAUGUAAAGCUUGGAGUCGUCGAUCGCUAACAGAAGGUUGCCACUAAUUCUUUCUCCUGGUCGAAGCUCUUCGUCAUCGAUAAAAACGCGAAUCCCGACAUCUACCAAGGCGUGGUAGAGGCUAUUGGUGAUUCCCCGACGAGUAUCGGGCCCUCUAAAACUCAGGAACACCUGGUACUCACCUCCUAAUGGAUUGGUGGUGCUCAUUCCUGUCUCUGAGUUUGCCAUAGGAGCUCACUUUGCACUUAGCAGGACAUGCCAUGGCAACGCCAAGUUUAUAAUUUGAAGCAUUUUGUUAAGCCAGGGCCGAUGAGCUUGAGCCUCGCCCAAGGCCGGCGAGGCCGAUGAGCUUGAGCCUCGCUAGUCGUUGCCAUGGCCGGCGACCAGCAGAGGAAAAGAAAAGAGAAAAAAGAAAGAAAAAGGAUUAAAAAUAAUAAAAAAAUUCGAUUUUUUUAAAAAAAUCAAGAAAAGAAAAAUAAAAGUAAAAUGUGUUUUGUGAAAGAAAGUGAGGUGAAAGAAGAUAUGGAAAAUGUUUUCCGCUUUUCCUCACUUUUGAAGGUGUUUUUUCCAUUGGUGGAAAAUAUUUUCCAUGACUAGUUUAUUUUUCAUGAAACGAACGCCCGAAAAUCAAGAAAAAGUUUUCCUAAAAGUUGUUUUCUGUGAAAUGAAUGAAGCAUAAGUUUAAAGAACAAUUAUUUAGGGUUACGAUAUCUAGACCAGAGAAAAAAAAAGGUGAUUAGGACUUCGAGGAAAGAGGACUUAGAAAACAUCAUAAGAAAUUGGAAUUUGGAAUUCCAUUGUGAUCUCAUGUAUGAUAUAAUUCACAUCUUUCCACCUCAUCUUUAAUCAAGAUUCCAAUGCGACAACUAAGGCGCCAUAUCGCGCCACCCUUUUUGGAUCACAUUUCAAAGCACAUUCACAAUGCACAAGCUAGAUAUAAUUAUUGCGAAUUUUUAAUAUGCGCACAUGUAUAGGUUUGGACAAAUCAGCGAAACCGACACCGCACCCAAACAAAAUUCUUUCGAAAAUGAGCAUGGCCAGGUCUUGGGCUGCAGCGUUGAACACAUGAGGAAGAUCCUGUUGGAGAAACAUCUCAAAAUAUUUUGACAAUCUCAAAACUCUUUUUGGUAUAAUGUUUACUAUGAUAUUUGCAGAUCGUGACAUUAAAUUAAAGAAAGAAGUGAUAUCCGUGAAUGAAUCUGUCCUGUUCAUGAACAUCACAAACGGACUUAAAGAUCAACAGGUGAUGAUGUUUAUGUCAUUGCUGAAGAUAUCAUGCCAUUAAUUAUGUUUGAACAACAACCAUUUGAGGAUGUUCGUUGGAUAAUCAAAUAUAGCCGUUG